CUAAAAAAUAAAAAUCCAGCUCUGAAAUGUUUCAGGCUUGAAUUCCAUCUGCUGUAUUAACAUGAAACCUUCUCUCUCUUGGUUGUUAUUUUUCAUUCCUACGUCUGUGACUGUUGGGCUGCGAACGGCCACCUCUCACAGUGCUGACUCCUCGCUGCCCGCCUCACAACUUUCAUCUGCUCUGUGCGGGAGAGACCAGGACCAAGUCCAGCCCUUUCCCUGCUGAAACCCUGUUUGGGAUCAUUAACAGGGCAGAAAAAGUUCAAAGUGAACACAUGAGGUCUCCAAUGACUCUUCAAGCAAGGUUACGAGAGCAUUAGCUUUCCCGGUAGCUUAAAGCACAUCACUUCAAAGUGAAAGAUGACUUUUACUCUCUGUAAAUGCACAGGAAACAUGAAGCCACGCUGAGGUACCACGGUAUAACAGAAGUCAACUACAAUAUUCAAGCACUCAAAUAUCAUGGACAUACUUUUAAAAGAGUCCAAAAUGUGGAAGACUGGAGAGAAUCACACCCUGAAAUCAAGGAGAACAUCAGUAAAGCAAGUGUCCCCUUGUCUUUAUGCGAACUGAGCAGCGCUUCUUAACAGAGAGAAAAAAACAAAACUAUACUUUACAUCAUUGUCUUAGAUGGCCCAACUUCAGAGGGAAGCAUUUUAGCAUUUAGAUUGUGCAUAACUUUCAAUUCUGAGCUGUGACCUUUGGGGAAGCACAGUGGGAGGAGCUUGCAGUAAUAACUCCUGGUAUAUAUAAUGCUUUGGUUUGCUGCAUUUUGUAUAUGAAAAAGCUACAUAAAAGAACAGAUAACAUUCUUAUUCUGCUUCCCCUCGCUCUCCCUCCUUAACGCAGCAGUGUUCUUACUGGCUCUAGUAAAAAGGUUCUCAAGUGCAUUUUAGGCAGAAGCAGGAAAUUUGCUUUCCUAGUGGAUCAAACGGAGCUGGCACUAAUGAUACAGCACAGGGAGAGGGAAAAAAAGAAAAAAAGAAAAGGAAAAAGAAAAAAGAAAUGUUCAACACUCAGCACUAGAGGAGAGCAAAAACAGAGCACACUUUGAAGAGUUUCCUUACUGCAGCAUAGCCCUGCGUAGGAGAGUCAUUUUGAAGUUUCUCUGUUUGUUUAAUUUUCAGGUCAGGUUUUGGCACUGUGCUAUGAUUGACACAAUAUAAAAGAAUAAAGGCCCAAACAAGGCAAAGGGGGAAAAAGCCCACAUAUCUUAGGGAAGUGUGAGACUCAGUAAAUCAAGCAGUCUAAGAAGUAGGGCAGUCUGAGUGCCUUAAGGAUUGGUACAAAGUUGCCUCUUAGACCACGAGAUGGUUAUCUACAGAUAGGCCUCUAAUAACCAAUAACCAAAUGUCAUAGCCUAGUUGGGAACUAAGAAAUUAUUUUCUUAAAAUUGAUCUUAAUUAUAGGGCCCAUAAAAAUAAGAAUAGAGCUAGAAUGCUGAAUGGCAGAGUAAACUAGAGGAAUAGCAUAAACUACCAAUAUGAGAGUUUGUUAUUGUAAUAAUAAUUUAGUUAAUGUGUUUAUUGCCACUGCAAAUGCCUUUCCUCUCAAUUGUGAAUCUCCAAGAAGAAAUGAGAAACUGGAAAUUCAAAAUCUCAGUAAUGCCUCCUAUUUUAUUAUGUUGGCUCACAACCUCAGAGAUGGAUUCUGGUGGUACAGCAAGAGGUUGAACCUUCCCACCAAUAUUCCAUUACAUUUUGCUGCUGUGUGACAGAUGGUAGUAGAGCAGCAGUCUGACAAAAUGGCAUCUAACAUGGAAAUGUAUACUAGGCAAAAGUGUGUGAAUUCCUUUGUGCUAAAAAACAGCACCCGCUGACAUCCACUGAUGCUUGCUGAAUGUUUAUGGGGACCAAACAUGUGAGCACAAUCAAGUGUUGUGUUACAGCAGUGGUGACAGUGACAGUGUGUCACCAUCACUGGUAUAGACUGGUACAAGUAUGGCAUGCAGGCUCUUGUUCAUCCCUGGCGAUCAUGUAAAGCCAAUGGUGGUGACUGUGCUGAAAAACAGUGUUUUGGGGCUGAGAACUUGCUCUAUCAAAUAUUGCUAUUGUGAUCUUUGUAUCUGUUGUAGUUUCCAUGGAAAUAAAUAGGAGGCACUGCUUUGAAGGAAGGAAUCAAUACACUGUAAAACCUCAGAUUUUAAUUUCCAGACUGAAAAUAUUGGAGUUAAUUAUGACAGUAUCAGAGCAAUAAAAGCCUUAGUGGAGUGGUUCAAGGCAUUGGUAGAUUCUUCUCUCAGUCAACUCACACAACAGCUCUAGCCUUUUUACAAAUCAGUUCAAACUUAGCUAGAAACUUGCACACAAUGAGGCUGUUUUCACCAACAGGGUGAUGGCUUUCUACAUCUCUGUUAUAUCAGCGCUGAAGAGAUGACUAGCAGUGAGUAAAUUAUUAUCUUAAGGUGGGAUAUGUUUGGCAGAUUUCGUUUUGGCAAAAUAAAACCACAUGGCAACACAGCUCUCACUUGGAAGGAGGUAUACCAAGUAGCAGAGGGAAUAGCAGGAAAUGAUGACAAAGAAUCAUACCUGGCUCACCCGUUUGCACUGCCCCAGUCAACGAAUGCUGCAGCCUCAUUGAAGCUUAUCCACUCUUCAGGGAGAUGAAGUGAGGCAAAACUAUUUAUUACUGUUAUGAUCUUCAGUGAAGAAUGGCUACGUAACAGCUGGAUGUGUCAUUCUCAAUAUAAAACCCAUCAAACUGAACCUUCCUCAGCUCUGAGCUCUUAGUGAUUCAGCAGCAAAAUUCCCAGCUGAGACUGUUCUGCGAAAUGGAAUGUUUUGAAGGACAGGGCUGUCCCCUCUUCUGCGUGAUCUCACACAUACAGCUAUAAUCAUCCUUUGAGCUGAUUCAGCAACAUCAGCAUCAACAGAAAAAGUAUGACAAUGGCAAAAACUAGAACAAUUUCUACUAAUUAAGAAAACAGUUUAAUGUAGAGGUUGUAAUAUUUAUACCCUCAGUCACAUUUUAUUCCAUAUGAAUUGAAUGAACCAGCUUUUUAAAAAUUAUAUGUGAAAUAAAUGAUACAUGCCAGUCACAACUUUUCAUCCCUGAUUAAAAAGACUAGUAGCUUAUUGUGAAUUAUAUAUAUUUUACUUUUUAACUGAUGACUGCUUGUGACCAUACUAUAGAAUCAAUCUAUUUUGAUAUUUGAUAUCAUGUAUGCAUUUGUAUUCAAGUUUACUCCAACUUUUCUUUUUGACAGCAGUCAACGGUGGGUAUAUUCCUGAAUGUAUUUUGGACUCUUGUAAGGGUCACGGCAUGGUAAUGUGAUCAUAGCAGAUAUGCCUUAUACAUUCACUGCAAGGGCUAAAUGAACAUCAUCUACCAGAAAGCUCAUCCUUAGCCGUAAUUCUACAGAAAUAAAGAGACUGCAGUUGAAAUUCAUGCUGGCAGAGGAUUUCUAUUCUGCACUGCCUUUCAUUUCUCCCUUAAAUGAUCAUACAUAAACUAACUCAUUUUUAAGAUAGGAAUAAAUAAGACAGAGAGGAAUUACGUUUGUAUGGUUGAGGUUUGCUAAUGCAGGCUCUAUAACAGACUAUGAAGUCCAGAGAAAUACAGACAGUGCAGUAGGGGAUAAAUAGACAGGAGAUUGUCAGUAAAGAUGAAAGAGAAGGAAUCUUUUUUCAGGUUAUCUUUGCAGUUGGAUUACUAUAAAGCCAGUAAAAGAAGUGGCAAAAAAAUCUCUAUAUAAUAGAAUAUGUAUUUAUGGUUCCUUACCUCACAGCUUAAUGUACAGUCUACAUGCUACUACUUCAAGGGACUGAAGAGGGAGAAAUAGCUGUGGUACCUAUGAAACAUUGCUUGCCUUUUUGGAGCAGCCAGCUGGAAUUGGCUAAAAUGCAGAAUGUCACAUCAAAUCUCAUACAGAUGAGAGGUUUGCUUGCUUUCCAGUAGAGAUAACAAUCGUGAUGAGCCAGCAGAACGCAGUCUGCAGCAAUAUGAAAGACAGCACAUGAACAUUUACUAACUCUGAAUAACAGGAUGAGCGAACCUGUAACUGCACCACACCUUCGCAGGGUCAUGAAUUUAUUUACUCACUUAUUUUUCCUCUGUAGAGCGAUGUCAAGAGUGUGGCCUUUUCAUCUCUUCUGCAACCAGUUCAUAGUCUGAGUCCUAACAACCAUGGUUGCAGAGAAUAUGGUGUGCUGGCACCAUGACAGCUUUUCUUUCUCUACAGCCUUGGAGAGCCUAAAAAUUCUCAUCGUUUUUUCAGAAACAGCUAGCCUGAAUGUGAACAAAAUCCUCCACAGAUAGGGGACAAGCUUGGGAAACAAGAGUAUAAGAGGAAAUAUUUAAUAAAGAAAAUGAUGGAUGAUUCCAAGGAAGAAAUUAGGAAGAAAUCAUCUCAGGCUUACGUGUAAAAGCACUGUGAUGUAACGGAAAAUGUAUCGUGUUGCGGCCGCUGGUUUCACAACAAAGGCAAAACUGUGAAGCUCAUUUAUGACAAUGUAAAAAAAUAAAACAGAAAUAUUAUGUUGAUAA